rnacentral:tRNA from 1 species
UCCCUCCUGGCUCACAGGGUAAAGAAUCUGCCUGCAAUGCAGGAGACCUGGGUUCAAUCCCUGGGUUGGGAA